rnacentral:rRNA from 1 species
CAAUGGCGUAUAUUAAAGUUGUUGCAGUUAAAAAGACUCGUAGUUGGAUUUCUGGCAGGAGCGACCGGUCGGCCCAAGUGGUGUGUACUAGUGUUGCAUCUGGCCAUAUUUGCGGAGAGCGUGUGUGGCAUUAAUUUGUCGUGCACGGGACCCGCAUCGUUUACUGUGAGAAAAUUAGAGUGUUCAAAGCAGGCUUAUGCCUUGGAUAUGUUAGCAUGGAAUAAUAAGAUAGGACCGCGUGGUCGUCUUGUUGGUUUGCACCGCGAGGUAAUGAUUAAUAGGUACAGUUGGGGGUAUUCGUAUUUAAUUGUCAGAGGUGAAAUUCUUGGAUUUAUGGAAGACGAACUACUGCGAAAGCAUUUACCAAGGAUGUUUUCAUUAAUCAAGAACGAAAGUUAGGGGAUCGAAGACGAUCAGAUACCAU